UACGGAGGGAGCUAGCGUUGUUCGGAAUUACUGGGCGUAAAGCGCGCGUAGGCGGCUUUGUAAGUUAGAGGUGAAAGCCCGGGGCUCAACUCCGGAAUUGCCUUUAAGACUGCAUCGCUAGAAUUGUGGAGAGGUAAGUGGAAUUCCGAGUGUAGAGGUGAAAUUCGUAGAUAUUCGGAAGAACACCAGUGGCGAAGGCGACUUACUGGACACAUAUUGACGCUGAGGUGCGAAAGCGUGGGGAGCAAACAGG
rnacentral:rRNA from 1 species